GAUGAACGCUGACAGAAUGCUUAACACAUGCAAGUCAACUUGAAUUUGGGUUUUUAACUUCGGUUUGGGUGGCGGACGGGUGAGUAACGCGUAAAGAACUUGCCUCACAGCUAGGGACAACAUUUGGAAACGAAUGCUAAUACCUAAUAUUAUGAUAAUAGGGCAUCCUAUAAUUAUGAAAGCUAUAAGCGCUGUGAGAGAGCUUUGCGUCCCAUUAGCUAGUUGGAGAGGUAACGGCUCACCAAGGCGAUGAUGGGUAGCCGGCCUGAGAGGGUGAUCGGCCACAAGGGGACUGAGACACGGCCAUUACUCCUACGGGAGGAAGCAGUGGGGAAUAUUGGAAAAUGGACCAAGAGUCUGAUCCAGCAAUUCUGUGUGCACGAUGAAGUUUUUCGGAAUGUAAAGUGCUUUCAGUUGGGAAGAAAGAAAUGACGGUACCAACAGAAGAAGUGACGGCUAAAUACGUG
rnacentral:rRNA from 1 species